UACGUAGGUGACCAGCGUUGUCCGGAUUUACUGGGCGUAAAGAGCGCGCAGGCGGUCGUUCAAGUCGAGUGUGAAAGCCCCCGGCUCAACUGGGGAGGGUCACUCGAUACUGAUCGACUUGAAGGCAGGAGAGGGAAGCGGAAUUCCCGGUGUAGUGGUGAAAUGCGUAGAUAUCGGGAGGAACACCAGCGGCGAAGGCGGCAUCCUGGACUGGUCCUGACACUCAGGAGCGAAAGCGUGGGGAGCGAUCCGG
rnacentral:rRNA from 1 species